GAAAAUCCGAAAACUCCGAAUUGUUAUUUUUGCACACGGCUUCGUUUACUCGGUUAAUCUUAUAAAAGUCGGAUUUUCCGCGGACCGAACCAUCCAUACUCUUAUAGCUUGUGGGCGGUGAACAACCUAGAAAAACGAACAAAAUGGCUUGUCCUGGAUGUAAAAGUGGCGGUGUUUGCUUCAAGUGCGACAAAUGCGGGGCCCUGCAGUGCAAGAACAAGUCGUGUAAGCACCACCACGCCAAAGCCGCCAGCAGCUGUGGUUCCUGUGGAAAAUCCGGGGGACAGAAAUCGGUUUAAAAGCUGGUAACUAACCACCAAGAUGGCAGCUGUGAUAUUUUAUGUGGUGUACAUUCUUCUAUAUGCGUAAUAAAGUAUUGCUAACUUUU